CCUACGGGUGGCAGCAGUGAGGAAUAUUGGUCAAUGGUCGGGAGACUGAACCAGCCAAGCCGCGUGAGGGAUGAAGGUACAGAGUAUCGUACACCUCUUUUGUCAGGGAACAAAGGCGGGGACGCGUCCCCGGAUGAGUGUACCUGAAGAAAAAGCAUCGGCUAACUCCGUGCCAGCAGCCGCGGUAAUACGGAGGAUGCGAGCGUUAUCCGGAUUUAUUGGGUUUAAAGGGUGCGCAGGCGGUCUGUUAAGCCAGCGGUGAAAGCCCGGGGCUCAACCCCGUCCCGCCGUUGAAACUGGCAGUCUCGAGUUGGAGAGAAGUAUGCGGAAUGCGCGGUGUAGCGGUGAAAUGCAUAGAUAUCGCGCAGAACUCCGAUUGCGAAGGCAGCAUGCCGGCUCCACACUGACGCUGAGGCACGAAAGCGUGGGUAUCGAACAGGAUUAGAUACCCCGGUAGUC
rnacentral:rRNA from 1 species